ensembl:lincRNA
GUCAAACUUGUGAUCUUCCUAUCUAAUUCCUCCAGGGUGUUGAGGCCACAGGUGUACACCACCAUGCCAUGUCGGAUUAAUUGCCUUUUUUAACUUUUUUUUUUUUUUUUUUUUUGACUACAGAUCGAAUUCAGGACCUUUCUCUCUCCAGGCAGGAGCUUGUGCCACUGAGCUAUAUCCCUGGCCCCCGAGAUAAUUUAAGGAAUGGGUGAAUUAAUCUAACAUCUAAAUUUCUAGGCACCAGACCGUCUCUAGCUAGCAGCUACCGCCACCUCCCCCACAGGACUAACCUGGGGGCUAUUUGUGGUUCGGGUCUGACAGCCAGAGGCAGGUUUUAGUAGCGCCUUUCGAUUUGCCGCCACUUGGCGUCGCCGGUUUAACUCUAGUCUCUCACAGCGGGCUAAUUUCCGGGGCGGUGUCAUUGCCCAUUUAAGAGCCGAGAGCCCCGCCUUCGGGGCGGAGCUUGGAGGGGGCUUUAAGGGGCGGGCCGGCGAGCGGCCAGGGUCCUCCGGGGAUUAGCGCCGGGUGGGCGAGCGCGCUGUGCCGCCAUUUCUUGGCGUCCUCUGAGAAGCUGCCCCUUCCUUAUCCUCGCUUCGGGGUUUUCCUCUCUGGUUGCCGGUGCCCCGGGGGCCUCCUCGCCGUCGCACCGUCGUCCCCAGCCCAGAGAGACAAAAUGUUGAGCUUUCUCCGAAGAACUCUGGGGCGCCGCUCCAUGCGUAAACAUGCUGAGAAAGAACGACUCCGAGAGGCACAACGAGCUGCCACACACAUUCCUGCAGCUGGAGAUUCUAAGUCCAUAAUCACAUGUCGGGUGUCCCUUCUGGAUGGUACUGAUGUUAGUGUGGACUUGCCGAAAAAAGCCAAAGGACAAGAGCUGUUUGAUCAGAUUAUGUACCACCUGGACCUUAUUGAAAGUGACUAUUUUGGUCUGAGAUUUAUGGAUUCGGCACAAGUAGCACAUUGGUUGGAUGGUACAAAAAGCAUCAAAAAGCAAGUUAAAAUUGGUUCACCUUAUUGUCUACAUCUUCGAGUUAAAUUUUAUUCCUCAGAGCCAAACAAUCUUCGUGAAGAACUAACCCGGUAUUUAUUUGUUCUUCAGUUAAAACAAGAUAUUCUCAGUGGAAAAUUAGAAUGUCCCUUCGAUACAGCAGUGCAGUUGGCAGCUUAUAAUCUACAAGCUGAACUUGGUGACUUUGAUCUUGCUGAACAUAGUCCUGAACUUGUGUCUGAGUUCAGGUUUGUGCCCAUUCAGACUGAAGAGAUGGAACUAGCUAUUUUUGAAAAGUGGAAGGAAUACAGAGGUCAGACACCAGCACAAGCUGAAACCAAUUAUCUGAAUAAAGCCAAAUGGCUAGAAAUGUAUGGGGUUGAUAUGCAUGUAGUCAAGGCUAGAGAUGGGAAUGACUAUAGUUUAGGACUAACCCCAACAGGAGUCCUUGUUUUUGAAGGCGAGACCAAAAUUGGCUUAUUUUUUUGGCCCAAGAUAACCAGAUUGGAUUUUAAGAAGAAUAAAUUAACUCUAGUGGUGGUAGAAGAUGAUGAACUGGGCAAAGAGCAGGAGCAUACUUUUGUUUUUAGACUGGAGCAUCCAAAAGCAUGCAAACAUUUGUGGAAAUGUGCUGUGGAGCAUCAUGCCUUUUUCCGCCUCCGAGGCCCUGCCCAAAAGAGUUCUCAUCGCUCAGGAUUUAUUCGGCUAGGAUCACGAUUUAGAUACAGUGGGAAAACCGAGUAUCAGACUACGAAAACCAAUAAAGCAAGAAGAUCAACAUCCUUUGAAAGAAGACCCAGCAAACGAUAUUCUCGACGAACUCUACAAAUGAAAGCAAGUACACCAAAACCUGAAGAACUCAGUGUUCACAACAAUGUUUCAACCCAGAAUAAUGAGUCACAACAGGCUUGGGGUGUGAGAUCUGCUGUGCCUGUGAUUCCUUCCACAUCCUCUGGCCCUGUGCUGGUGGAAAUAGAGAAUCUUCCACGGAGUUCUGGAAUGGAUCAGCAUGACAGGAAAUGCUUUCCUCUGAAUAUUGAUUUACUACAUAACCCAGACUUACUGGAAACAAGCGUUAGUGAUAUAAUUGAGGCAGCAGACACCACAGAAACAUCCUCACCCCUGGAUGACAUUAACGCAGCCACCAGGCCGCCUGGCUUAGAGGAAGCUGAAGUUGAGUAUGGGAUGUUGAAAGAUGCAUCAGAGAAGCUCAAGCAGCUGGAGAUAGAGAACAGUCCUUUGCCAUCCCCGCGAUCCAAUGUUGAUGUUAACAUCAACAGCCAGGCAGAAGUGGUAAAGUUGACUGAGAAAUGUCUUAAUAAUACCAUUGAGAGCCCAGGAUUGAAUGCCACGAGAAUUCCUCCUGAUUUCAAGAGUAACAUUUUGAAGGCUCAAGUAGAGGCUGUGCAUAAGGUUACAAGAGAAGAUAGCUUAUUAAGUCAUAGAAGCACCAGUGUUCAAGAUGCUGCUACAAACAGUGCUGUAUUAAGUGAGAAUAAUGUGCCUGUCUCCAAAGAUUCUCUUCCUGUGACACAUAUCACACCUGUGGACAAGGAUGCUGUUCUAAAGGUGUCUUCAGCAUCCAUGAUCACACCCCGGUGGAUUAUCCCACAGAGCAGUGCCUUUUCUAAUGGACUUGCUGGCUGCGGAACGACUUUAGCAGAGAAGGAGGGAUGUGGUAGUAAAGAUGGACUCUCCCUGAUCUCUCCCCCGGCACCGUUCUUGGUAGAUGCUGUGACCAGUUCUGCACCAGCUCUGGCUGAAGACGCUGUCUUGAAGCAGAAGUGUUUACUGACUACUGAGCUCUAGGAGACUGCUCCUCCCAGCUGGUAACUGGAAUGCCCAGCACUCUGUAGCAGUCCGUCCUGGAAUCUGUUCCAGCUGGAAUGUGUUGAAUUCUGGAGUCUGUCCUUUGCAUUUGGUAAAAGAGCUCUACCUGCAUUUAACUUCAACUCCAUUUUAAAAGGCUACAUUUUCCGUCCAACUGGAAGAAUUUAAUCACCCUGUGUACUUUCCUAGAGGAAGGUAUCUGGUCUUUUACUUUCUAUAAUUCCGUUAGAGUUUGUAGUUCCUGAAUCAAGAGAUUACUUUCCCUGCACUUUCCUUCAAACUCUUGGCUCCACCUAGUGGUUGUAACUGUUUAGAACGACUUUAUAACCGGAUUGCCGCUGGCAGUCAUCACAACUGCUGUUUCCCUCUGUAGUAUAAGGGUAAGCAUUCUUGAUCUGAAUGCAUGUUAAAGAAGUUGUACUUUUCCAUGCAUUAAUUGUAAAUCAGGAAUUUAGAAAUUGGUGCACAUGCUACCUAGCUAGAUUUAGAGCCAGUUCUUCUUACAGUUAGUAUAAUACUAAAGAGAAGUUGAGAAUACAGAAGGUUUUUAAUGUCCCCCCUACUUUUGACUUCUUAUGAAGUGGCUAUCUUCCUGUGAAUUAGCCACAUAAACAUUGAGAACAACAGAUCGAUCAGUGUCCCAUCAUAUAAUUUUACAGCUUUGCUGUCCCACAGGAAGUAUUCCCAUGUACCACACUAACUUUGCAGCCUGACGGGGCAAAUUCCUAAUCAAGAGACCCUAGGCAUUGACCCCGGGCAUCCACCUACCCUCCUGAGCCAGGUGAGGUGUGCAGGCCAUUUUGGACUUCAGUAAUAAAGGCAGUACUCCACAUCGGUACCUGUGUGGACAUAGCUUCCAUUUCAUUUCUAUAUAAGCCCAAUACAUUGAGAGCUUUCAAACUGGAAAGAAAGAAGAAACAAAAACACCAAGACAGAGGUAGGGAACAGGGAUAAGGAUGACAGGAUUUUGUUUCUUAAAUGCCUACCAUGUGUGAAAUUCUGUGUCGCAUACUAAAAGACGUCACCCUGCAGUAGGGAUUUGGUUAGUUAAAAGACUUCUCAAGUUUUCCUCCGUCCCUUUUAGCCAGUACAAGAAUUUGUGGAUGUUAAAGCAAUACCUGUGCAUCACAGAAGAGUAUACAGAUAUCCACCUGUUAAUCCGAAAACUCACAAAUAACACUAAUGUAGCUUUCAAACUGUAGACUAAGAAGUAAGCCCCAGUUGCUAUGGGAAAAAACGAUCUGGAAACUAUGUUGGGAAAGUCAUCAGUCAUCAAGGACUGAGUUAAACUAUACCUCCUAGGAAUUGUUUUUUAAUUUUUCUGCCCUGAAAUGUGUAUAUGAUUGAGCAUUAAUUUGUACUACUCAGUAUAAAAGAGCAUCCAGUUAUGUGGUCUUUAAAAAUUUCAUGGUUUGAACUAUCUCGGGCUCCCUGUAGCAUACUUAUGUGUGGAGGGAACCACAGUAGGAUUAAACUGGAAACGCAGCAAUUUUAAUCUUGCACUGUUUCCCAGGGAGCUGUAUAGAUGGGAAAGCACUUUUCACAAAACAUUUUUGCUAAAGGAGAAAAAGUUGGCACUUCUUACUGGCUGCCUCCCCAUAGCCAUUAUGCUAAGCUUGUGAGUUCCAUUGGAUUGCUCUCGGCAGCCCUUGGUUAUACUGUAAAACACGCUUUCUUGCAGCUGUGGCACAUAGAACCUUGACCUGACCCAGGACGUGUUGAACUGGGCAUCAGUUUUUCAGUGCCUGACAACCCUGAGUGUCCUGAGGGGUCAGUGUUGUGUUCCUAACCGCAGAGCAGCUAAAGGCAUUGUGCCUUGGAAGACCUGAACUUCCCGUCCAGUUUAGAAGGUAGUACGAUGCUUAUCUUAAACUUUCCAAAAUUUAGGAGUUAAGCUGAAAAUAUUUCAUCACCUUUCUGUCUUCGGGUACCUAUAGUCUUGCCAAUCAAAAUAUUGAUAGGAACUUUCAUUUGAAUCUCCACUAAAAGUACAGUAUCCAAACAUGAAAUGGUAAAUAUGAAUGAUGGAUUAUCCCUGAUAGAUUAGAUACCUGACAGAUACAAGAUUCCUGUCACCUCUGCUGCCAGUGUUGUCCCCAGAGCUGCCACACUAGCUCAUGCUGUUCCGUUCCCCUGAGAACAGCAGUGGUGGGAAGAGGCAAGGCUGAGGAGCGCUGUGGCUGUGGGGGCAGGCAAGGGAAAUGUCUGUCUGAGAAGAGGGAAGCAUGUGCGAACCCGUGGAGGAGGCUGGCGAAGAGGCUGGAGCAGACACUGGGUAGGAAGGCAGCUGGUGACACUGGGCUGAGGUGGGAGGGGCCGGAGAACACUGCAGGCCUGCUUGAUGGUUUCGUGCACAGGAAACAGUGUUGCAGAAGCUGCUCCACUGUCUUUGCACAGGGAGCAGCCAGAAGGUCCUGGUAGGAGGACAGAGGGCUGUCAUGGAAGUUGAAACAGGAUGAGAAAUUGCGGGCAGGGGAUAUAGCUCAGUGGCACAAGUGCCUGCCUGGCAAGUACAACAUCCUGAGUUCGAUUCCUGGUACAAAAACAAAAAACACAAAAAAACCCCCAAAGAAACCAGAAUGAGAAAUUGCGGCUUUCUGCCUGGACUCUCUUUCAGCAAGUGAGUUCAUCAUAGUUCGGUUUGUCUGCAGCACCUCCUUUCUAACAAGAGAGGCUCAUAGUUAUUUCACUCCCACUCUUGGGGAGACUGCUGAGCAGCAGUGAGUAGGUUCCUUGUGUACUUGACAGUUUCAUACGUCAAGAAAAAUUCUUUUGAAAAAGUACUUCUUACAGUUUUACUAACUUUUUUGGCUUUUAUUUGCUUUUGUACAAUCUCAGAGGUCCUGUGGACAUGAAAGAUGAAAGCCUUGACUUUUUCUAGACCGCUUGCUCUAGCAUGCUUCUCAAUUCAAGCUAAAACUUGUAUUUCUGUCUUCUCUUAGCUAAGCCCUGAAAGUUCCACUGUCCCUCUAGAAUCUUUGGUAAUGGGAUUAUUUGCCAGUCACAUAAAGUCUUUGAUAUUUUUGUGAGUGAGGAUUUAGAAAGAGUUCUUAUCUUCUCACUCAACGGAGGUCACAUGCAUGUCCUCUAAAGGCUAGAGAUAGUACAUACUUCAGCACUCAGCUCUGCUGGCACAGCACAGAAGCAGCGUGGACAGCAAUACGCAUGAACGUGGCUGUGUUCAUUAAAGUUUUAUUUACAAAGCAUCCGUGUCCCUGAUUUCCAGCUUUGUAGAGUGGAUACCUAGAAGACAGGUGGGGGUUCAGAUGGGCUCUGCAGUGUCAUCUGUCACUUGGAGGCACCCAGCCCAUCUGGAUGUUGCAUCCUCUCACACCAGUGGCACAGCCAGACAGGGUGCAGUUUGUGGUGUUGAUUCUGUAUCUCUGAGAGCUCACUAAUUUCUGGUUAAUCUUACCAUGUAGUUGCUUCGAAACUUGGAUAAGUGUGUAGAGUGAAGAAUGCAUAAUUCUCGGUUAUUUAUCUUUUCUUUUCUCUCAAAAAUGUAAAUACUGAUACUUGAGUGAUCAGAGGAUGGUUGGAAACUUCCUGUACAUUAGCACGCAGAAUGAGGAAUAUGGUUUGUAUUAUGGAAGCUUUCCCUGAGCUGAAUUCUGUGUGUUGUUAACGUACUGGUAGAGCUGUGAUUCUCCCCCAGGUCCAGCGGUCGGAUCUGUCAGCCCCUACUUUCUCAUGCUUGAGACCAUAAUUCAGUCACUCUGUAGGAUUUCUCUUUAUCAGAGGUGUUUUUGUGUCAUAACCCUUUCCUAUCUUCAGAUCUGGACACAAUAAGUGGUUGGUUAUGAGGACCUCACUAACUAUUUUGUUUACUUUUUAUAUGUGUAAAGCUCUGCAGUAGCUUUGAAACUGUAAUUUAUUUUUCUAUCAAGUGCACUAUAUUCAGUGUGUUCCGGUUUUGUAUAACUUGUAUUAGAAUCACAGCACUAAACUGUGAGUUGUCUAUACACUGAAAUGAGAAGUGUAGAUGUGACCUCAUUCAAAUAAAGCUUUUGUGAGACACGUGGUGUUUGAGCUGUUUCUUGGGUGUGGGAUACCUACCUG